rnacentral:rRNA from 1 species
UACGGAGGGUGCAAGCGUUUAAUCGGAAUUACUGGGCGUAAAGCGUGCGUAGGCGGUUCGUUAAGUCUGUUGUGAAAGCCCCGGGCUCAACCUGGGAAUGGCAAUGGAUACUGGCGAGCUAGAGUGUGUCAGAGGAUGGUGGAAUUCCCGGUGUAGCGGUGAAAUGCGUAGAGAUCGGGAGGAACAUCAGUGGCGAAGGCGGCCAUCUGGGACAACACUGACGCUGAGGCACGAAAGCGUGGGGAGCAAACAGG